rnacentral:rRNA from 1 species
CCUACGGGUGGCUGCAGUGGGGAAUCUUGCGCAAUGGGCGAAAGCCUGACGCAGCGACGCCGCGUGAGCGAUGAAGGCCUUCGGGUUGUAAAGCUCUGUGGGGAGAGAAGAAUAAGGGUUGGCUAACAUCCAACCUGAUGACGGUAUCUCCUUAGCAAGCACCGGCUAACUCUGUGCCAGCAGCCGCGGUAAGACAGAGGGGGCAAACGUUGUUCGGAAUCACUGGGCGGCGAGUUGGUGUAGGCGGCUUGAAAUCCCAGGGCUCAACCAUGGAAGUGCAUUCGAAACUGCCAGACUAGAGUCCUGGAGAGGAAGGCGGAAUACUCGGUGUAGAGGUGAAAUUCGUAGAUAUCGAGUGGAACACCGGUGGCGAAGGCGGCCUUCUGGACAGUGACUGACGCUGAAACGCGAAAGCGUGGGGAGCAAACAGGAUUAGAUACCCUGGUAGUC